GCGCGCUCAGCGAAAGUUUAUUUUCAAGUAACUCGAAACAGAUAACACACCUUGAAGCCCCCGAACUAAGUAUAUACAUUGUGAUCAGUUGGUGUCCUGUAACAGGGCCAUCCGUGGUUACACACGUAUUUUGUAUCUAAAUCCAGUAAUAUUUGUUCAAGCACAUACCGCGUUGCGACACUUCACUAAGUCUAUUUUGGUAUUAUAUAAUGUUUAAGUCGUGGGAGUGCGAGGUAAACUAUUAUGUAUUGUACACAGACCCGAACACACUCAUGUCUAUACAUGGAUGUUCUCUCAUAGCGUUGAAAUGCUAGCUAUUUCAAUUGAGGUGUGUUGGGUGGUUCUAUACGGACGCAUUACAGAGACUCUCGAUAGGACAGAUUCAUUCUUUUCAAAGUGUGUUUCGUGUGAUUUCCUUUAGAGGAUUCUUUGAUUGGAAAUACCAAGUCUAUGUGACCACGAAUGGUGAAGGCUAUUAAAGCUACAUGGAUCAUCUUUGGUCUGUUUUGUGUAGUGGAUUUAUCACACUCGCAACGGUGUGUAACUGCCUCAGCUGCGAC